GCCUAAGAGCAGCCACCUGUUAAAAAGCGUCAAAGCUUAACCAUGCCCACACCAAUUUUAAAUUUNUCCAUUGACCCCUUUAACUUUACUGGGAAUUUCUAUAUNCAUAUAGAACAUUUUAUGCUAAAACUAGUAACAAGAGAAAACCNCUCUCCCNAAUGCAAACACAAGCCAGCAAGAACCCGUCACUGGCAAUUAACAGACCUAAACAAAAAUAGUAACAUCUCUAGAAAACCCUAUUCCUUACAACUGUUAACCUAACACCAGAGCAUUUCAGGAAAGAUUAAAAGAAAAAGAAGGAACUCGGCAAAUCACUAACCCCGCCUGUUUACCAAAAACAUCGCCUCUUGCCCCCNNNAUAAGAGGUCAAGCCUGCCCAGUGACUUNUGUUCAACGGCCGCGGUAUCCUAACCGUGCAAAGGUAGCGUAAUCACUUGUCUUCUAAAUAAAGACCAGUAUGAAAGGCAUCACGAGGGUUAAACUGUCUCCUUUCUCCAAUCAGUGAACCUAAUCCCCCCGUGAAGAAGCGGGGAUUACCCUAUAAGACGAGAAGACCCUAUGGAGCUUAAAACAUUAAAACAUCUGCCACAAANNNCUAAACCACCCAGGUUCUUUCCCCCCCCCGCACUUUGAUUUUAUGUUUUCGGUUGGGGUGACCGCGGAGAAAAACUGAUCCUCCACGAUGAACGGGGAACUCCCCCUAAACAAUAAGCUACACCUUUAUGCAUCAAUAAAUUGACAUACAUUGACCCAAUAACUUGAUUAACGAACCAAGUUACCCUAGGGAUAACAGCGCAAUCCACUUUAAGAGUCCCUAUCGACAAGUGGGCUUACGACCUCGAUGUUGGAUCAGGGUAUCCUAGUGGUGUAGACG
rnacentral:rRNA from 1 species